rnacentral:ncRNA from 1 species
AGAGAUGGUUAAAAAAGAAAUGCACUCUUUUCUUCAUAAAAGUAAGUAAUCAAUUGAAGUCAGCUGAAAGGCUUGGAUAAUCUUUUGAAAUUUCAUUGUGAUGGGAAUAGAUAAUUGCAAUUAUUGAUUUUCAAUGAGGAAUUCCUAGUAAGCACAAGUCAUCAGCUCGUGCUGACUACAUCCCUACCUUUUGUA